GAAUAUUUGUUUGUCCAGGAUAUUUGAUAUUGAUUGAAACCAGAAUCUGCAUCUCCUUAAGUUGCACGGAAACGUAUACAGCUGGUGCAACUGUGGUAACCACCAAUUUGUACUCUGUUUCUUGCUGAACAUCUCAUGUAUUAUUGAAUCGGAGAUGAAUCUUUGAUCGGAUUCUUGUCUCUGAUGUUAAGAAGCUUUAAAUGAAUUGAAUACUUUUAUCUAAUGUAAGUCUUUCGGUAGCCUAUCAGAUCUCUUCGCGGAGCCUCAGAGAUUAGCCAUGUACGUAAUUGCAACAUUCUUUAUCCGGUUCAGGCAUCUCUAAGCUCUUUUGAUCAACGUUUAACAUUAGGAAUAUGAUAUACCUCAAUACAACAGUGGAAAAUCCUUUUUGGUUCGAUUGCAAUCAUUGUUAACAGGCCUUUCUCCAUAUCUACUCCGUUACUGGUAUUCGAAAUUUGGCACACUUAUGGCUUUACACUUUGCUCUUUCUCAGUUUGUCCAGAGCCUCUUCCGGCAAUUUUCAUGCAUGUAUGUAUAAGUCAUCACAUUAAUUAAUUCACGAGUUAUGAAAGGUAAAAGGAAUACAGUACAAUACACCCCUAAUUUCAAUGGCACGUAUGGCAUUGAAAGGCCAAAGUGAACAUAUGUCCAUAAUGGUCCCCUGAGAGGUGCUGGUUCAACAGGAGAAAACCAGAAGUGAAAGUAGAUGCAUUUAUAUGAUAAUUUGAUAAGAUGAUGAUGUUGUCGUCAUGUGCUGCACGACCCACCAUUUGGCAUAUUGCAUCUUGCCCUGAUGCAGUAGCCCACGCAGAUUAGUCUAUCCUGUUCUUUGCUGGGAUCCAAUUUAUAGCCUUGAAUUCUGUGGAGGAGGACAAAAGUUGGUAAAAGUUCCUACAGUGGCAUGCAUCGAAUUUUGCAGAAAAGCAUGAAACGCACCCCACUUCCCCAGCUUCAAUACUUUUUGUUAUCCUGUUAGUAUUUUGCGCAAAUAAAUCUUAUCGAUACAUCGAUGCAAUAUUACACUGUAGAGUGUAUAGUAAAUUGAACACUGAAGCAGCUAUCGUAGCUAUGGAAUCCCCAAUCCUCAAUGUUGCCAAAGCGGAAAGGAUUUGGGAUCUACUGUUCAGAAAAAUUACUGGCUAUAUAGCAGAACACCGCGAGGAAGGCCACAGCCUUAUACUCAUUGUCCUUACCUACCUUUGCUGCUUUUGAUGGUAGGCUUGUAGGGCUGUUUAUGCUCACUGGCAAGAAACGAGAUGAACACUUCUUGGAAAAUCAUGUUAUCAUCUGGAGCACCACAUGAAAUCAGGGCUUUGAGGAAAUUUUUUGUAGAACGUCUGUUGCUGCAAACAACCUUUUCAUGUCCAAGAAGUUUGCUUUUUGCAAUCCUUUUUAUCUCUCAUUUCGCUAGAUAAGUUGGAGAUCGUAAAAUUUCAUUGAGAUAAGGUUUCAUUAGAAUUGCGUAAUCUCUUCAUUAAACUUCUCAUCCUUUUUAUAGGUCAUGUGAUUUUUAGAAGAAGUAUCUUAAAAGCAUGUCAAUGUAUUCUUGCCAAAGCUUUAAAAGGAAUACCACAGUCCUUCCGAAUAUUGUUUUUAACAUUGACUUUGAACAAUAGCUGCAGCGGUUUUUUCUUGCAAUCCAAACACAAUGAAAUACCACAGUAAGAACAAGCAGCUAAGUCCUUGUGCUGGGAGAUUUAGAAUCAAUUUAGUCGGAUUUUUCAGGAAAUUUGGCGUUAAACCUAGCAAUGAAACUAGCUGAAAAGGUUGGUGUUGAAUAGAAAAGUCUGGCGAAGGAUGGUUGGCCAAAAUGGGCUUCAGCUUGUUUCAUACCAAUCAGUUAUCUUCAAGAACUUUCAAAGCGGUGGCAACAUCUAGCGAGCCUGACAGAAUUCUGAUGCGAUUGAAGCAUUCAAACGCAAUGCCGUUGCUGCAAGAAUGGGGACUGUUGAUUUUGGAAAUAAAUCGGUAUUUUGUAGUGUUCUUUCAAAUUAUGGGGUCAGAUUUCUAAAUUUCGAAAAAUCGAUUUCUUGAUGACGUCAUUUGGCAACUUGGGAAUCCUUAAGAUUAAGGAAGUCAUAAAAAGGUCUUGGAGUAGUCCAGCAUAUUAUAAACAGGGUGUAAACCAUGUGAUACUAUCUUUUAACAUAAAAGUACGAAGAACUUAGACAAAGCAUUGGUAGAUUUUUGCCCAAGUCUUUGAUGUUAAAUCUAUUCAGAUGCCUAUCGUGGAAAAACUUAUCUUCUGGUAUUUUAUUGUGAAGACAAGAUGUGCAGCUAGAGAUAUCAACAAGACUACGAAUGGAGGAGGAGUGGCAGCUCUUGACGAAGCACAAAAUGUUGUAUCUCAAAAUGUGUUGUAUUUACAAAAGUAAACGGAUUGAAGAUAUGUAGGCUAUUAGAACGCGUAAUACCAAGCGAGGGUGGCACAAAAUCAUCAGAAUAGCUAGGGUGCUACAUUGCAAGAAUGAUCCAUUUAGUUAAAAUACAUUUAUAACAGAAAGGGGAGGUAGCUAUUCACAUUAUCUAAAGAUGUUAUCUGUUGUGCUUGCGAAUUAAGAGAUCAUUCAAUUUCGAAUAUCGAAGAAGAAUAUAUAAUCAUCUUCUAACAACUAUCCUAGAACAUACAGAUCAAGCAAAGAAAGACAAAUUACUAAAGACCCAUAGAUCAAAAAGGUUAGACCCUCAUCCCGGAAUAGGAAAUAAAUUUUCCAGGCUUUUAUACAAUAUGUAUAACGAGAAAUUAGAAUAAUAAGAAAAAAGGAAUAUCUCUCUUCUGAUUGUACCAGCGCUGUCUUGUGCUGCAUAACAAAGUAUCCAUACCAGAUACCUGUCAUCUGAUUGAACGGGCCAUCUUGUUUGUCCACAAAUAUCCGCAAAAUUUGAAGAAAUUUAUGGUCAGAAGGCUGCAAAUUUGAUGAAAUAUAAAGCCAUGACUCUGCGACAAAUGAAACUUAGUUCCUGUAGUUCCUCAACUUUUGUGAAUUUUUCUUCAGAACCCAAACACUAAUUCCAGAAAAUUCAGAACCCGAACCCUAAAAUUUCACCUACAAUUUUUCAAUUUUCGAAAAAGUUGCCUGUUAAUUUUCUUGUACCAUUGACAAACUUGCUAAGAUACCCAAAUUAUCAGGUUCCAAUACUUUUAAGAUAAGCAAACACAAAAUCAUUUAGAAAACUUAUGCUGGCUAUUUAUAGAAGAUAUAUUUUUGAAUCUUUGUUAAAAAUCUAACUUUAUUCACAUUUUUUCUCUUGUGUGCUACUUCUAAAAACGUCAACAAUAUGGAUAGUUAGAGAACUGACUCCUUAUCUGAAAAUAUGUCGACAAAACUCCGGGGAAGAAAGGGUUUUUUUCAAUAGAACUGGGGGUUGAACUUCAACAGGGAACAAGGAAAUAUGUUAUUGAAUGUAUGGAUGAAUUGUAUCGACUUCUUGAAUGUUUUGUCCUUGAGCAGUUUUUUGGAUUUUACUGCGAUAGGAAUUGCUCAGCUGCCACCCGAUGCAAUAUACUGGCCCCUGAAGAUCGGGCAUCCUCCAUUUGCUGGUGUAAUGCAGUUGAAAAGGUUUGAAAAAUUGAGAGGAUUUCUAAACUUUAUAGAUGCUGUAACAUUUGAGCAAGAGUGGAAAACUGUUGAAAACUUAGCAGCCUGUCACUAAGUAUAUUGGACAACAGAGUAUUAAAGUUUCACCAGAAGAGAGCCAUUCUGUAGGUGAACAGAUAAUUCCAGAUACAAAUAAUAAAUACAAUACAAAAUGUAGUAGCAGACAGUAUUAUCCAAAAUGCAGGUUUAUUAGGGAACUAAGAUUCUUGUUUGUGCUGGAACAUUAGGAUUCAUGUGUGACGUCUGUAAGUAUUGUUGAAAAGAAGCAUCCGCGGAUUCACCUAAUGAGUACAAACACCUGCAGAAGUCUUCUCGAGUUGUUGCAAAACACUGUGCCCAUUUCCCAAAAAAUAAGAACCACUAAAUCUAUUUGAUAACUGGCUCACAAGAUUAGAUCUUCUUCAUUACCAGGAGAAAUAUUUGCUCGCAGUAUGUGGGACAAUCAGGACAAAGCAACUAAAAGACUGACCGUUGAUUAGUAACAAUGCCAUGAAAAAAGUAGACGAUCAAUGGACUACAAUAUGAUUUGUUCAGGGAUGAUUGAUGCAAAAUGAUUUCCUAGCGUAGAGUUUUCGAUCUAUGUUCUGACGUUUUAUACUGUGAAGAGUGUCAGACGCAAAGCUUUAGUUUACUCAAAUGUUUGCUUUUUUCAAAGCCAUUUUCAAGUUUUGUACCAACAAAAUAUUGUUUGAUAUAAAUGUUACAACAGCAAUGCUACGCAUCUUGCCUCAGACUUUGUUAGGAUAGAGGCGCUAAUUUCAUGCUAAUUUCCUUGUGCCGAAUGACCAGAAGGGCCUAAAGAGUUACAUUAAGAUAAGAUGUCACUGUGUAGACAAAGGAAUGGUCGCUUCAUGACUUCUGUAUCAUUAACACAGUAAUGAAUUUGGCAUACCAAAGAAACGCACUAUCUAAAUGGUCAACUUAUUCACUAAAGUAGCAGAGACUAGAGAUUCAUAUACUAAAUUGAUAAAUGAAUAGAAGAGGGUAGAACUUCCUUUCUAAAAAAAACUGACGUGAUACAGGCGAGAAUGUCAUUUGACGAAUUCAUAACUAAAGUUGCAGAGGGUAGAAUUUCAUGGCUCAACUUCAUUACUCAUGUGAUAGAGGGUAAUAUUUCACUAGUUGAGCUCCGGUCACUGGUCAAGCUCAUCACUGAUGCAGCAAAGGCUAGAACUUCAUUGGUGAAAUUAACCACUAUGUAGCAAAACUAAAAUGUCACAUGACAAAUUCAUAACUAACUAGGUAAGGCUAAAUGUCAUUGGUCACAUAUCUUACUGUUGCAGAGGCUAAGAUGUCAUUGGUCAGAUUCAUCACUGACAUAACCGAGGUUAAAAUUGUAUUGGUCGAAUUCAUCACUGACCCAGCAUUUUCUCGAAUUUCAUUGAUCGAUGUCAAAUCUCCCCCCUCCCUUUGACAAUCGAUGACAAUUGACAACCGACGCCCCCCCCCCCUCAACAUGGAAGGAGCAGUUAUUCCCCUGGAUAUGGAUUUUGUUCAUGAAUAAUCAUAAUCAAAGUUUGUGUUCAAACUUACAAAUGAGGAUCUGUUGUUAGGUUGCUUAAUUGUGGUCGCUGCUUUCAUGAAAGAUGCCCCACAGAUAGAAGAACCAGCAAAAAACUCAUUUGAUUUCAAUUUAUUUUCUUCACCCACCAGAGCCCGUCGGUGAAAGAAAUGCAAGCUUACCAGGGGGCCAAUUUUGCAAAAUUUUGGAUUAAAAUACUGCUUAAAAGUUCAUUAAAAUAGCUAAUAGUAAAAAAGGUCUUUAGAUUUGACCUAUUUCUAACCUCUUUAGACCGUGUCAAAUUUCCGCACCCAAGUAAGAAAGGUCUUGUAUGAGCUAAUUUAUGAGCUAAUUCUGUUAAUAUGAGCUAAUUUAUCGCACCUUCCACCCAUAAGCAUGUUAUGCAAACAUAAAUCUGCAAGUUUACAUAUAGAGAUUUAUCCGACCUUUAGGUUAAAGGGUGGGAUUACUUUGCUCGUAUAUACAAGCCCGUACAUCUGUAGUCAUGGAUGGAACCGCUGGGCUAUUCUCGCUAUUCAUGUUACGGAGAGAUUACAGAACGUACUUCAAUACAGAUGGCAUUAGAACAGGGCCUUCUGUUGAAAGGGUAAAAAUCUGGGAAGCACCACCCCUUUCUGCUACAUAAACUAUGCAUAUUCACUUAUUUUUGCACAAAUUGGAAAUUAAGAAUAAACUCAAUUUAAGUUUUUUGAGUCAAGCCAGGGGUGGCGCUAGAAACCAAACCACGAUGUGCCGACAAUCUUAGAAAAACUCAAGUGCCGACGACUAUAAAAAUGGUUGCCGACAUAUUUCAUGAACUCCCCUUAACGGUAUCUUAAAAUCCUAAAAUGUUUUGAAAAUGAAUGAAAAAUAUGUUUUUAUCCGUCAAUUAAAUCGUGUAUGCCUUUUUGUAAAAAGAUGGACGACAACGUAAAGGUCAAGCAACUUGUCUCGCUUUGAAUAAUUACCACGGAACUAUAUUGUUGACAGUGAAAAUGGGUACGCAUUUCAUAGUUAUCACGAGCCCUGUGGUGAGACAUUAGAAGAGACUUCCAUGCGAGCGAGCGAGCAGAAAAAUUCUGCGACCAUACCCUUUAGUUUAGCUUAAAAUACAUUCCAGAAUAACUCUUGGAGCCGUUUUCUUCCAAUUGUUUGAAAUGUUUCACUAUACUUGGGCAUACUUUUGUUAUGUUUAAAUAAUUCAAUUCUAAAAAAUUGAAUUCAUUACUUUAUAAGGGCUCAUAGAGCCUUGAAGCCAAGGUAAAAUUUGCCCCUUUGCCCCCCUCUUUGCGGCCCUGGUUAUUUGAUGCCUCUCGGUAAAAGCCGUUCGCGUACCUUUGAGUAUAAUAUUUAGCGGAAGAACCGGUGUGAUACUAAAAUCUGCGUGGCAACCAAAUCCGCUUGUGCCAACUCCAAAUGACGUUUUCCUUGCCCUGAUGCAGUAGCCCACGUGAAUUCUGGUAACCACGCAAAAACCAUUACACCGGUGUUGUACCUAUAGGAAUCUUGUGAUAGAUUAUAUGCCAUCUGUUAUAUCAUAUUCUGUUGUUAACGUUUUACCUCGUCUAUUCAUUGAUUUAUUGCUUGGAGUCCCCAACGUAUCAGCAGUGGCAAAGGAGAUAAAUUAAAAUGUAAACUUCUCUAGUACAUAAGUAGUUUGCAACUGGCUAGCCAGGGUUACAGAAUAAGACUAAAACAAUCGCAUAAUGAAAAGGUCAACUAAGAAGAAAGAAAAUAUAUAUGUAUAUCAAAAUGGUAGAAGUCCUGGGUUUGUCCAUGUUUUAUUUCUACAACUAAAAUAAAGUAAGUAGUAAGAAAUGGCUAUGUUAGGAAGUUUUGAGAUAAAAUACCAUUUGCUUUGUUGGUCGAUAGAAAGAGAAUCACACGUUUUGACGAAAGAGUUGCAAGAACUGCCAAAAGAGCCAAAAGAACCCAUGGAAAGAUUAACAAAUGCGACGGAUUUGAACCGAUUUAAUUAUAAUGGAAACAUUUCAUUUUCAAUUUAAUUUAGUCCUUGUUUACACGGGGAAAAUGGAAUCGAUCCCGUAUCGGAUCCAAAAUUUUCACAGACGUUUACACAAUCCCAAAAUAUAUUGACGGGAUCGUUCCCAGAUCGGACCGCAAUGCUUUCUAGGCCCUUUUGAAAGGAAUGCUCAUGUGUAUUGUUUAUGCCAUCAGCAACACAAAGAAAGUACCGCCAAAUUUAUAGGAAGGCUGGGAGAAAAUGGCUUCGAAUUUGAAAGGUAGCAACAAAAUGUUUAUUUGGAGCGUUGAAAAAGGGCCUUACUCCUGAAUAGCAAGCUGGAGUAAGACAUUAUAGGUUGGAGCCUGUUUGCUAAAUUUAUCAAUAAACUCGUGAAAAAAUAGAAAACUUUUUCUAUCUUGUUUUGUAUUUUCCAACUUAUGGGCGAAGAGGAUGCGCGAGAUCUGACCAAAGGUCGAAGCACUGUGCUCAAAGCACCUAAAACUGGAGAAUUCAUUAGCCUCGUUUCCUAUCCGUGAUAAUUUGGAAUCGAUCCCACUUCUUUCGGGCAUUUACAAGAGAUCCCAAACUGGAACGCUCUCCAAAGCGGACCUGAAUGAGUACGGAUAGCGGACCGAUCCCGAGCGUUCCCGUGUAAACGGAAGGCUUAUCCGUGCAAGUUUGGGAUCGAUCUCAUGUAAACAGGGUCUUGAACUACAAUUACAGAUCUCACUGUUACAAGGUAAUUUACUGAAAAUAUAAGUCAGGUCAGGAAUGAUAAUAUAAAAAUUUGUGAUCACAUGAAAACGUAAGUAAAGCUGGACUCUGGACUUGUCCAUGGUUUAUUUCUGCAACUCUCUUUUAUUUACAGUUUCGAGAUAUUUUAAACUAUUUUUCCUAAAGACUAAGCUCGUAUCAUCAGCAAAAAAGUGGAAGUCAAUUAAGGCUGAACUUAAGUGGAUAUCAUCUAUGCAAAUUGAAAAUAAAAAGGGGCCUAAAACACUACCUUGUGGAACCCCACAAUUUAUAUUUCGAUUUUCAGAUUGGAUGCUGCAAAAUUCAACAGACUGUUGGAGAGAUAAGAUUUUAACCAAUUUAGUGUUGUUCUUCUGAUACUAUAAUGUUCUAGAUGGUCUAAAAAGGAGGAAUGAUUGAGAAAACGCCUUUCUCAAUGUUAUAUAUCAAGGAUGUGUAGAGGUCAAGUAUGGCUACAGAGGAAUUUCUAUUUUUAUUGAAAGCCAAAUUGAUAUCAGAGAAGAAUUUGGUAUUUAUCUAGGAAUUCAACCAGGUGUUGUGAAAAAAAAUUUUCAAGAAUUUUACUGAAAAUAGACAACAUGGAAAUCGGUCGGUGAUUGUUGAGUUCUAGCUUUGAUUUGUCUUUCUGAAUCGGCAAAUUGCAAACUGUUUGGAAAGAUACCUUGGACUAAGGAGGCAUUCGAGAUAUUGGUAAAGGGUGAUGAGAGGGUGUCACUGGCAAUUUUAAUAAGUUUAACCGGAAUAUUUCAGGAGUCGUUAAACUUGUCAUCAUUGAGAUCUUUUAUUAGAUAUGCCGAUUCAUAAAGAGUAACAAGUUUUAGAAAAACAACUACUUGCAUUCGUUUAUCUUAAAAAAUAUGGUGACUUUUAAAAGUAGGUUUCAUUCUUUCCACCAGUUUAUCAGCAAUGCUUUGUGAAGUAAUCAUUUAAAAUAUUUGCCACUUUGUGUUGGUUUGAUUCCAGCUUGCAAUUUAUUUGAAGGCAUAUAUAACUGUUUUGUCUUUGUAUUCGUUAAAUUUAUUUAGUUCCUUUUCACUUUUGUCUGGAGUUGUCCUUGAAUUUAUAAAAGUAAGACAAGUGCUAAUUUUUAUUGCUUUUCCUUAUAAGAAGAUACAAAGAAACUCUAUAAUAUUUAUUUCGAUUGUACCAAAAAGGGUUUUAGUUGAUAAAAAAUCUUUACACUAUUUAUUUUUAACAUAUAUUGAUUUCAGUAUCCCGUUCGUGAUCCAAGGUUUUUAUUUUUGUUUAUCUAUCCGUCUUGAUACUGGUUUAAGGGGGGCAUGUUUUUUUAUAGAGUUGAAGAUGCAUUCAUGAAAAAAAUUAAAUUUAUCACUGUAUAUUGGUGUAAGAAUCAAUGAGAUUUUCCAGAUUAGCUGCCCGAAAGUCAAUCAGGUUUGCAUUAACAUUAAAGUCACGGUAGAAUUCUUGUUUUUUCAUGUGUUAGUUUAUAGUCAAGUUUAGCGCAGAAUAGAAAGUUAGGCAUAUGGUCAGAAAUUUUAGAAAUUAGAUUAGUACUAAAUGUUUCCAACCCAAUAGAAUUAAGAAAUAUAUCAUCUAUCAGGUCAGGGAGGGGUUUUGUUCGCUUGAACUAAUGUUGGUUGUAAUAUUUGAGUUUAACAAGAAAGAAAGAAAGAAAGAAAGAAAGAAAGAAAGAAAGAAAGAAAGAAAGAAAGAAAGAAAGAAAGAAAGAAAGAAAGAAAGAAAGAAAGAAAGAAAGAAAGAAAGAAAGAAAGAAAGAAAAAGAAAGAAGAAAGAAAGAAAGAAAGAAAGAAAGAAAGAAAGAAAGAAAGAAAGAAAGAAAGAAAGAAAGAAAGAAAGAAAGAAAGAAAGAAAGAAAGAAAGAAAGAAAGAAAGAAAGAAAGAAAGAAAGAAAGAAAGAAAGAAAGAAAGAAAGAAAGAAAGAAAGAGAAGAAAGAAAGAAAGAAAGAAAGAAAGAAAGAAAGAAAGAAAGAAAGAAAGAAAGAAAGAAAGAAAGAAAGAAAGAAAGAAAGAAAGAAAGAAAGAAAGAAAGAAAGAAAGAAAGAAAGAGCAAAAUUAUAUAAUAAGAGCAAAAUUAUGAACCUUUCUGUAUAGGUAUCUGCAUCAAAGUUCAGUAGAUUAAUGUUAAAAUCCCCAUUUAUAAUAGCAGUUUUCUUCUUUUUAAGAAUAAGAGGAAGAAUUUUGGAGUGAUUAAUUUCAAUCCAACAUGCUUUGAAUUCGCAAUCGGCAUCUUUGCAUGUAAUGUCUCGAUCAGUACGUGGUUUAAAUAAAAAAUUACUUUGAACGAAGAAGUCACAUCCCCCCUUCAAACUGUUACCUUGCCAGGACUACCACAGUAACUUUGGCAAUCUUGUAACUUAAGGUUCAAAUUAAUUUUGUAACUAUAUGGAAGGUCAUAUACUAUAAAGUAACUAUAGGGAAAAUAAUCUUGUAACUAUAGAGAAGGUCAAAUUAUCAUCCCAUCUCAAUUCUACCAGUGUUGUCUCGGCUUUUUGAAAAACUUGUCUACGAUCAGUUGUAUAAUUACUUAAUUUCAAAUGAAAUGCUGUUUUCACAGCAAUCAAAUUACAGAAAGCUGCACUCAGUACACUGACUGGUACCUAAAGCCUUCGGCACCGUCAAUUCUGAUAUCAGUCCGGUCUGAAGGCACAACAAUCGUGCAAAAUAUGAUACCAGCAUGAAAACUUCAAAACUUACGUAGUCUGAGGUGUAGAAUAAAAUGCAAAACAGAGCCAAGCCGAAAAUGCCGCUAAAAGCUAUUUUUAGAACAUCUAACUUGGUCCCAGUCCUCAAAAUGAAAUAAGUCACUUGCAAGAGAUUCAGCAAAUGUUUGUCUGCAAGAUUUGAUAUUCAUAUACAAUCUGAAGUUUGAAACGCCAUGCCAAGGAAAUAAAUUACCCCAUUUUCUAUAUAGAACAUUGAACCUGGUCCCAGUCCAUAAAAUGUAAAAGUGAUUUGCAAGCAAUAUAACAGGAGUUUGUCUGCAACAUAAUUUUAGUAAUUAUAUACAAUCUGAAGCUUAAAACGUCAUGCCAAGAAAAGAAGGUCCAUAACUUGCUCCAUUUCCUAUUUUUAGAACAUUGAACAAUGAAAAUUUCGCUUGUGAGUGAUGUAGGAAGUAUAUUUCCGCAAAAAUUGGUAUUCAGAUUCGAUCUUAGGUGUGCAAUGUCAUGGGAAGAAAAUAAGAUCCCUAAAGUACCCCAUUAUGUCUUUCAAAACAAUCAACUUGACAACAUGAACCUUUUCGUGAACAGCAUUUCCCUACAUUCAUAUAUUGUUGAUUGCCGACAAGUACGAUCGCAAAGCAGAAUAAACCUCUCAAUGGACUGAACAUCAUCCUUAGGAAGCUCUCUAGCGUUACCCUACGACAGCCCAGAUAAAUAGAAAACAAUAUGAUAAUGCCAGGGGAGGCUACUAACGCACAAAGUCAAGAAAGCGAUUUAGUUUCUAGCUACUGCUAUCACUUAAUAGGAUGCCUAAAUGAGUUUGAUUUUCAAACAUCCCAUCCGCUUCUCUUUCUCUACCGCAGAGUGAUAAAACUUAAUUUCACUUUAUGAAAGCAUACCAACAGCGUCAAACACUGCAUAUAUUUAUAUCAAGCUUUGCAGCAUAUAUGUGUAUUUGGAAUGAUCGCUUUUUAUCCGUCCAAACCAAACUCAGUCCACAACUUCUCGAUGUCGAGCUCUUGAAAAAGGGUGACCACCAUUGCAAUGACCUCUGUGUGUACGGUCCAGAUGCUGAUUUCUUGGUGAAUUGUUUUUGCUGCAUUUUGUGUGUGAAGAAAAAGAAGAUGCGCGCGAUUUAGGCCAUAAAUUGCAAACUAAACGUUGCACAUUGAAUCAGAGUGCCAUACGUAUGUUUCCCAAAAAAUGUGAUAUUUUUAAAUGCUGCAAACUAUUCAUAUCAUAAAAAACUAUCAAAAAUAGGCAUGGGAAAUAAAAAUGGGAUAAUUUAUUCACUUUGUUUGUUUUGCGUCAUAACUUAUGCAUUAAUUUUGAAAAGAUAGACUUAUCAAAUGCACUUUUGGCAAUUUAUUCACUUUGUGGACUUGGUAAGGACCAAAUUAAUUCUAAAAAUGGAGCUCAUAUUUUAGC